GGGUUGUGAGGUUAAGCGACUAAGCGUACACGGUGGAUGCCCUGGCAGUCAGAGGCGAUGAAGGACGUGCUAAUCUGCGAUAAGCGUCGGUAAGGUGAUAUGAACCGUUAUAACCGGCGAUUUCCGAAUGGGGAAACCCAGUGUGAUUCGUCACACUAUCAUUAACUGAAUCCAUAGGUUAAUGAGGCGAACCGGGGGAACUGAAACAUCUAAGUACCCCGAGGAAAAGAAAUCAACCGAGAUUCCCCCAGUAGCGGCGAGCGAACGGGGAGCAGCCCAGAGCCUGAAUCAGUGUGUGUGUUAGUGGAAGCGUCUGGAAAGGCGUGCGAUACAGGGUGACAGCCCCGUACACAAAAAUGCACAUACUGUGAGCUCGAUGAGUAGGGCGGGACACGUGGUAUCCUGUCUGAAUAUGGGGGGACCAUCCUCCAAGGCUAAAUACUCCUGACUGACCGAUAGUGAACCAGUACCGUGAGGGAAAGGCGAAAAGAACCCCGGCGAGGGGAGUGAAAAAGAACCUGAAACCGUGUACGUACAAGCAGUGGGAGCACGCUUAGGCGUGUGACUGCGUACCUUUUGUAUAAUGGGUCAGCGACUUAUAUUCUGUAGCAAGGUUAACCGAAUAGGGGAGCCGAAGGGAAACCGAGUCUUAACUGGGCGUUAAGUUGCAGGGUAUAGACCCGAAACCCGGUGAUCUAGCCAUGGGCAGGUUGAAGGUUGGGUAACACUAACUGGAGGACCGAACCGACUAAUGUUGAAAAAUUAGCGGAUGACUUGUGGCUGGGGGUGAAAGGCCAAUCAAACCGGGAGAUAGCUGGUUCUCCCCGAAAGCUAUUUAGGUAGCGCCUCGUGAAUUCAUCUCCGGGGGUAGAGCACUGUUUCGGCAAGGGGGUCAUCCCGACUUACCAACCCGAUGCAAACUGCGAAUACCGGAGAAUGUUAUUACGGGAGACACACGGCGGGUGCUAACGUCCGUCGUGAAGAGGGAAACAACCCAGACCGCCAGCUAAGGUCCCAAAGUCAUGGUUAAGUGGGAAACGAUGUGGGAAGGCCCAGACAGCCAGGAUGUUGGCUUAGAAGCAGCCAUCAUUUAAAGAAAGCGUAAUAGCUCACUGGUCGAGUCGGCCUGCGCGGAAGAUGUAACGGGGCUAAACCAUGCACCGAAGCUGCGGCAGCGACGCUUAUGCGUUGUUGGGUAGGGGAGCGUUCUGUAAGCCUGUGAAGGUGUGCUGUGAGGUAUGCUGGAGGUAUCAGAAGUGCGAAUGCUGACAUAAGUAACGAUAAAGCGGGUGAAAAGCCCGCUCGCCGGAAGACCAAGGGUUCCUGUCCAACGUUAAUCGGGGCAGGGUGAGUCGACCCCUAAGGCGAGGCCGAAAGGCGUAGUCGAUGGGAAACAGGUUAAUAUUCCUGUACUUGGUGUUACUGCGAAGGGGGGACGGAGAAGGCUAUGUUGGCCGGGCGACGGUUGUCCCGGUUUAAGCGUGUAGGCUGGUUUUCCAGGCAAAUCCGGAAAAUCAAGGCCGAGGCGUGAUGACGAGGCACUACGGUGCUGAAGCAACAAAUGCCCUGCUUCCAGGAAAAGCCUCUAAGCAUCAGGUAACAUCAAAUCGUACCCCAAACCGACACAGGUGGUCAGGUAGAGAAUACCAAGGCGCUUGAGAGAACUCGGGUGAAGGAACUAGGCAAAAUGGUGCCGUAACUUCGGGAGAAGGCACGCUGAUACGUAGGUGAAGCGACUUGCUCGUGGAGCUGAAAUCAGUCGAAGAUACCAGCUGGCUGCAACUGUUUAUUAAAAACACAGCACUGUGCAAACACGAAAGUGGACGUAUACGGUGUGACGCCUGCCCGGUGCCGGAAGGUUAAUUGAUGGGGUUAGCGCAAGCGAAGCUCUUGAUCGAAGCCCCGGUAAACGGCGGCCGUAACUAUAACGGUCCUAAGGUAGCGAAAUUCCUUGUCGGGUAAGUUCCGACCUGCACGAAUGGCGUAAUGAUGGCCAGGCUGUCUCCACCCGAGACUCAGUGAAAUUGAACUCGCUGUGAAGAUGCAGUGUACCCGCGGCAAGACGGAAAGACCCCGUGAACCUUUACUAUAGCUUGACACUGAACAUUGAGCCUUGAUGUGUAGGAUAGGUGGGAGGCUUUGAAGUGUGGACGCCAGUCUGCAUGGAGCCGAC
rnacentral:rRNA from 1 species